UCUGAAGUCGUUUGUAGCCAUAGCGUCCCU
rnacentral:piRNA from 1 species